rnacentral:rRNA from 1 species
CCUACGGGUGGCAGCAGUGAGGAAUAUUGGUCAAUGGGCGGGAGCCUGAACCAGCCAAGCCGCGUGAGGGAAGAAGGUACAGCGUAUCGUAAACCUCUUUUGUCAGGGAACAAAGGCGGGGACUAGUCCCCGGAUGAGGGUACCUGAAGAAAAAGCAUCGGCUAACUCCGUGCCAGCAGCCGCGGUAAUACGGAGGAUGCGAGCGUUAUCCGGAUUUAUUGGGUUGAAAGGGUGCGUAGGCGGCCUGUUAAGUCAGCGGUAAAAGCCCGGGGCUAAACCCCGCCGAGCCGUUGAUACUGGCGAGCUGGAGUUGGGGAGAGGUACGCGGAAUGCGCGGUGUAGCGGUGAAAUGCUUAGAUAUCGCGCAGAACCCCGAUCGCGAAGGCAGCGUACCGGAUCCAGACUGACGCUGAGGCACGAAAGCGUGGGUAUCGAACAGGAUUAGAUACCCUUGUAGUC